rnacentral:ribozyme from 16 species
AUGACAAAACAAGAAAGAGAUUCCAAAAGAGUACAAUACUACUUACUAAUAACUCUCUUCUUCUUGCCCUUUGUCUUUUUAUCCUUCUUCUUCUUCCUACCUCU